CUGGAUGACAUUCCGGUGGGACAGGUGCCUACAUUGUUUGAAAUCCUGGACCAAACAAAGGAGAACGAAGAGAAGGGAUUAAUACAGAAGAGUCCUGCAGAAAUGAGCAACAAACUUCUUAGUGCUGGAUUCUAUGCCUUUGCGCAUGAGAUUAUGGCAGUGAUGCAAGAGAAGAGCAAAGAUGGAGCUGCAGAAUCAAAAGAGAGCACCACUGAAAACGUUGACACAAAGGAGCAAGGUAACACACCCGACGGGUCAGACGAGUGUAAGCAAGAUGAAACUUCCAAACUCCUCACCCAGGCAGGAACAUAGACCAUUGGGGAGGCAUUAGUCAGGACAUGGAAGUUUGUCUUUCACACACUCAUAAAAUGGGCAAUUGGCCGGGACAAGAAGCUAUAUUUGGUAAUAAUCAGAACAUUCAAAUAUUAGCGAUUUCAAGAGGACCUGUGAUAAAGAGAGAGAGGUACAUGAUUUAUCGUAAACACGGAGAUGUCUUGAUUGUUUGUACAUCACUGAAAUUUAGUUAUAUCAUGUUCAUUUCAAAACAUAAUGGACUUUAUAAGGGCAACUCAAUAUCAUCUCUAUCUAUCUAAGUAUCUUCUUCCGGUUCGGAGGUUGAUUGCAACAUCUCUCCAUUUCACUCUAUCUUCUGCCAUUCUGGUGCACUCUUGCAGUUUUA